UCCAGUUACUGGGAGGCCUCGGUGGGUUUUAGAUCCUUCUGAAUGACUCGCGGCGGGGCCUGCAGCCCCUGCGUGCACUGCGCCCCAGCCGCGGCGCGCACACAACCGCAGCCACACCUCCUCCGGCUCCGGGACCCCUGGGCAGUGUUACUCUGCCUCUGGGCCCUGGCAACACCGCCCGCUUCCUCCCCUCCCGGACAGACCCCCCCGCCUCCCAGCGCCAGGGCGGCGUCCUGAUUGGCCCAAGCCCAAGAGCAAGCUGAGCUCCCUGACGGUGAUUGGUUGGAAGUGGGCCCCGCGUGCAGCCUGGGCCACGUUCCUGGCUCGCUCGCUCCGGAGACACCCUGAGAGACGCCGUCCUCUCGAGACUGUGUCUGGAUGUCCAGCUCGACGGGGACCCGGAGCCCCAUGGGCCGAAGCUGGUGCCACCCUACCUUCAGCCGCCUGGUGUGAAAUAACACGUGGCACCGUUUUCUGUGCCCGAUGCCAGAAGCAUCCUCGCUGCUCCCUGAUUCUAUAAAUGCUGAAAACACCUCCCGGGCUUCUGCGGAGUCAAGUCCUCCUUUGGUUUUGCCCCGGCUCGCCUGGGGCAUUUUCCUCUCUUCCUCGUUUGCACGCUCUUUGCUUGACCCUCUCUGGUGACCAGCUCUUUAGUGAGAAUCACGUCUGGUUACACUUCCACCCAAGUCCCCCUGCCGCCCAGAAGCAGCGAAGAGACUGGGGACUUACACAUGCUAAUUCUUAGCCUCGCCUCUGGGCCAUUAUUACCCUGAUUUUACAUACAAGCGCGGUCACUGGAGCUCAGAGAGGUUGACGGGCUUGUCUGAGGUCACAAAGCUGGCAGCUGACAGAAACAGAAAUCGAGUCCUUACUAGACAGUCUCGUGGCACCUGGGCUGCUCCACGGCCCUGCCUGGGCCUCUGCCGUCCACCGUCUCACCCGCCCUGCUGGCCCCUGCUCUUCACCAUGUCCUCACCCUGACCUGGCUUCACCGUCCAGGAGCAGGAGAGGGAGACACCUCCACCGCAUGGAAGAGGAAGGAAGGGGGUGUGAGGUGUCGUUGUCACACAGCAUCACAGACCACCAAGGUCCUCGGUGACACACGACGACGAGCUAGGCAUCCCUGCUCCACUGGCUCUAGGCUUGCCCACGUGACUCACUUAGGCCAGCGGACAUCUGGCGAGAGUCCCACGUGAUGGUUCUGGGGAGAACGCGUCUGUUCCCAUCGAUGUCUUGCACUUUGGCCAUCACCACGAGGAAAGGCUUCCUCGGAGCAGCUGCCGCCCCUUGAGCUGGGCCCAGAAUGCACACACCUGGAGUGGAGUCAUCCCUGAGCUCCGCAGGGAGAAGCUGAGGCUUCCAGCCACGCCCAGCCUAGAACAGGGACUCCAGGCCAAGCGCGGACGCUGCUCGAGGCCAACUGAGGUGAGCAGAGCUGCCCAGCUGCCCCUGUAGACGCUUAUGAGGUGGCAUGAGGUUCUGGUUAUUGGCUACGUGUGUGGUGGUGAAGAUCCUCUGUGCUCGGUCGGGGUACCCAUUCAGUUGUCUACAGGAGAUGUGGAUGAAAGACUGAGGACAAUGGCAGGAGUUCUCCAGCUUGGGGAAAGAGGAGGGACCACAAGGUCAGUCUAGACCCUGCCUGCUGGUGGAUGCCUCGCUUGUGCCCCUCCAUGCUGUGCUAGUAUUUUGGCAGACCUUCAUUACAGGUCAAUAAAAGUUACAUAAAUGAAAUGGG